rnacentral:rRNA from 1 species
UACGUAGGGUGCGAGCGUUGUCCGGAUUCACUGGGUUUAAAGGGUGCGUAGGAGGGCAGGGAAGUCCGUGGUGAAAUCCUAGAGCUUAACUCUAGAACUGCCGUGGAUACUCUCUGUCUUGAAUCCCGUGGAGAUGAGCGGAAUAUGUCAUGUAGCGGUGAAAUGCUUAGAUAUGACAUAGAACACCAAUUGCGAAGGCAGCUCGUUACACGAAGAUUGACUCUGAGGCACGAAAGCGUGGGGAUCAAACAGG